AAAAUCAUAGUAUAGAGAGAAAGUAUAUUUUGUUGUCGAUAAGAAGGGAAAUGAUUUUGA
rnacentral:tRNA from 1 species